GGAGGAGCAGCGAGGCUGCGAGGAGGCGAUGGGCUCUGGGACCGAGGUGGGCAGCGGCUGGGAGCGUCCCCACGGCUCGCAGCGAGGCUCUUCCCCCAAGCAGCAGGAAACAAAUGCAGUGAGAAGAUCAACUGGCAGGAAGCUAGGACCUAACGAAAUGUGUCAUACAGGAAGCAAUUAAAAUGGAAAAUCACUGUUCUCCAGACAAACAAGGACACAUCAUGCCCGUGGGCCAAAUUCAAGCCAGGCUUUCACCUGGAGAGGUGCGUUCACACCAGACAAGAGAAGAGCAGUGCUAGAAGGUGAGAUGAAGCGAUUUAUCCAAGUCACAAACAGGAAAAAAGACAUUCUGACUCCUGGAGUCUACAGCACUUUCUGCAAGAGGCAAGCCUGCUAACAUGACAGCAUUUACCUGCGUGGGUGCUUCAGAGGAUGAGGCUGCUGGGCUGGACUCUUCUGCUUACACUGAUGGAAGUAAGAGGGAACCUCCCAGCCGAUGCAUCUGACCUGCUGCUUGCAGUGCAGAAGAACCCUGACCCCUGCAAGGGUUGCAAGGUUGGGAUCUGUAGCUCCACUGACUCAGCUAAAUCCAGAGAGUAAUUACGUUUUGCCUAAAAAUAAGCACAGAGUCACUC